rnacentral:rRNA from 1 species
UACGGGGGGGGCAAGCGUUGUUCGGAAUUACUGGGCGUAAAGGGCUCGUAGGCGGCCAACUAAGUCAGACGUGAAAUCCCUCGGCUUAACCGGGGAACUGCAUCUGAUACUGGAUGGCUUGAGAUUGGGAGAGGGAUGCGGAAUUCCAGGUGUAGCGGUGAAAUGCGUAGAUAUCUGGAGGAACACCGGUGGCGAAGGCGGCUCUCUGGGACGGUACUGACGCUGAGACGCGAAAGCGUGGGGAGCAAACAGG